UUAUUCAACAUUAAAGCGGCACUGUCAUGCCGAAUUCUGUUUUUUUUUUAACCCCCCUUCCGCCUCCACUACAUCCAAUUGACCCACUAGUCACCCCUAAAUGCCCCUAAGCCCCCCACAUUACCUAUUUUUAAAUCCUUAUUUUCUGCCCCGAUCUAUAUUCAGGGCGCAGCCAUCUUUGUGUGGGUAGGUGAAGUCCCUCAGGGACACGUCAUCAGCCCACACUAGGCAGACUGUGAGAUUCCCGCACAUGCCCAGUGAAACACCUGGACAUGCGAACGGGAAUUUCAUCUAUUCAUUCAUUCAUCAGACAGACGAAUGAGUGAAUAGAAAUAUCAGCCGAACAAACAAACACAAUGUAUCAGUGUAUCUGAGUAUCAGUGUAUGUUUGUUCGUGCAGUUUAUUACAAGGAGGGAGCUACCGGCAUGCAGCUCCCUCCUUGUAAUAUGUAACGAUAGAAGCGGCAGGGAGCAGUGCUCCCCACCACUUCAUAAGCCCCCCAGGCCCCCCUCACUCUAUGGGGGUCAAUAUGACCCCCAUAAUAGCACAAGGGAGAUAAAAAUCUCCCAAAUGCCCCUACUCGCUAUACCGCGAGUAGGGGCAUGUCCACUAAACAGUGAGCAGCCUGUGGCUGCUCACUGUAAAAAAACAACAACAAAAAAAAACAACUAUUG